rnacentral:rRNA from 1 species
GGACUACACGGGUAUCUAAUCCGGUUUGCUCCCCACGCUUUCAUGCCUCAACGUCAGAAAUGGAAUAGUUAAUUGCCUUCGCCUUUUGGUGGUACUCUACAGAUCAACGGAUUUCACCCCUCCACAUAGAUUUCCAUCAACUUCUCCCAAUCUCUAGCAAAAUAGUAUUACUAAUUUCAGUCAAGUUGAGCUCGACUUUAACUAGCAACUUGUUUUACCGUCUACGCAUCCUUUACGCCCAAUAAAUCCGGAUAACGUUCGCCACCUACGUCUUACCGCGGCGGCUGGCAC